UCUUAUUGGUAAGUUUUUCCAUUGAUUUUUAUUUUUUAAACGCUGAUAGUAUAUUCACGUACAUCUAUCUGGACCCGCAGUAAUUCGAACAACGAUGAUUCUCCUGGCUAACAGGUUACCGGCUUGGUUAUCGGAUUGAAAAUCUUCCGGCAUACCGGAAGAUGUUUCAAAACCAUCUUUGCAGCCAUCGAAGAGAUGCUCCGGAAGUUGGCUGAUGGAAAGCUGAUUCCAAGGAACAGAAGGAUGAGAAAGCGCCGAUGAAGGAAGCGAAAAGAUACAUAAAACCACUUGAACCCAUGAGCCCACUUCCUUAGACCUCUUUUAUGUGAGUUGAACUACCACAUCGAAUAAACCGGAGAAAUAGGACGUGUCACUCGAAUUGCGCCACCGAUGCAAAUGCACUACUCCGGAUCGAAAAAUUACCUUCCAAAAAUGAGCUGAAAUCUCCGGUUUGCCGAUGACACCCAAUCCCCAUUUUACGGAUGGACUUCGGUGUUAUUUUCCCUGCUUCGUCGGUAAAUCAGUUCACACCAGAAACCCUCAAACCAAACCUCCAUCACAGUUUCCUUCCAGCCAUGAUCAGCAGCUGAAGUUCCCGAAAGACGUCGUUAACUCGCAGUUGGCCAUCCCCCGGAACUUCAGAGAAAUCAUCAGUUUCACCAAGGCAAAGAUUGUUUUUGGCGCUCCCGGAGGAUAUUCAUAAAGAAAUAAUUAAUUAUGUACACAUUUUAUUAAUUUAUUUUGAUGGAGAGCAAUAAAUAUAAUCGAUUUCA